rnacentral:rRNA from 1 species
GACGAACGCUGGCGGCGUGCUUAACACAUGCAAGUCGAACGGAGUGGCGAACGGGUGAGUAACACGUGGGUGAUCUGCCUUGCACUUCGGGAUAAGCUUGGGAAACUGGGUCUAAUACCGGAUAGUGCAAGAUGAGCUCGCGGCCUAUCAGCUUGUUGGUGGGGUAAUGGCCUACCAAGGCGUCGACGGGUAGCCGGCCUGAGAGGGUGUACGGCGACAUUGGGGCUGAGAGACGGACCAGACUCGUACGGGAGGCAGAAGGGGGGAAUAUUGCACAAUGGGCGGAAGACUGAUGCAGCGACGCGGCGUGGGGGAUGAAGGCCUUCGGGGUGUAAACUCCUUUCGACAGGGACGCGGUACCUGUAUAAGAAGCACCGGCUAACUACGUGCCAGCCGCCGCGGUAAUUC